rnacentral:siRNA from 1 species
GAGAUUUGGGCCGCUUCUGCC